AGCCUACAAAGGGGAGGUGCUAGAAGUCGGACCGGAAGUGGAAGCGGUUCUCCAAGGCUUUUUUGCCGCUGGUGUCAGGAGUAUUUUCAUAUCCCAAUACCGAGAAAUCUUUGAGAUUUCUGGGUGUCUCUGGGGAGCUCCUGGGCCAGAUCUUCCUCCAGACUCCAGCCUACCUCUUCAGAGCAGCUCUGCUUGAGUUCACAGAUGACUGCCAAGCUUCACACACCCUAGAGGAAAAGGGUUGAGACCCAGUGUGGCCAUGCCAGCUAAUUGGACCUCAUCUCAGAAAUCCUCAGCCCUGGCUCCAGAGGAUCAUGGCAGCUCCUGUGAGUGUUAACCUUGAUGCCUGAAAGAACUGGAAAUUAUGAAGAUAGAUUCAGAAGUCAAAUAUGUUAACUAACUGCAUUGAAGAGUAGAAGAAAACAGUAGCCUAGUAGGUUUUUACUGGGACUAGUGAAACAACUGCUAUUUUCUCAGCAACCCACUCCAAAGUCAAAGUCAGAACUAAAAUUGUAAAAUAUCUCAAAAACAAUAAAAGUGCUAUCUAUAUAUCAGAAACUCUGGUAUAUAGCAAAACUGUACUAAAAUAAUUUAGAAAAACAAUUUAUCUCAUGCAAAUGAAUAAAAAAAUCUAAAUGAAAAA